rnacentral:tRNA from 1 species
GCGCCCGUAGCUCAGGGGAUAGAGCACUGGUUUCCGGAGCCAGGAGUCGGAGGUUCGAAUCCUCCCGGGCGCGCCA